rnacentral:rRNA from 1 species
CAAUAGCGUAUAUUAAAGUUGUUGCGGUUAAAAAGCUCGUAGUUGGAUUUCUGCUGAGAACGACCGGUCCGCCCUUUGGGUGUGUAUCUGGCUCUUUCUUGGCAUCUUCUUGGUGAGCGUUGCUGCACUUGACUGUGUGGAGCGCUACCCAGGACUUUUACUUUGAGGAAAUUAGAGUGUUUCAAGCAGGCAUACGCCUUGAAUACAUUAGCAUGGAAUAAUAAGAUAGGACCUCGGUUCUAUUUUGUUGGUUUCUAGAGCUGAGGUAAUGAUUAAUAGGGAUAGUUGGGGGCAUUCGUAUUUAACUGUCAGAGGUGAAAUUCUUGGAUUUGUUAAAGACGGACUACUGCGAAANCANNNGCCAAGGAUGUUUUCAUNGA